UGCGUAGGCGGAAAAUUAAGUCAGUGGUGAAAUCCUGCAGCUCAACUGUAGAACUGUCAUUGAUACUGAUUUUCUUGAAUACAGUUGAGGUAGGCGGAAUAUGUAAUGUAGCGGUGAAAUGCUUAGAUAUUACAUAGAACACCGAUUGCGAAGGCAGCUUACUAAACUGUGAUUGACGCUGAGGCACGAAAGCGUGGGGAGCGAACAGGAUUAGAUACCCUGGUAGUC
rnacentral:rRNA from 1 species